rnacentral:lncRNA from 1 species
UCUAGUGGUAUUUAAUUAGAAUUUUAAAAGACUUUAAAAAAGUCUAGUGGUAUUCAAUCAAGACUCUUUACAACUUACAAAAAGUCUUGUGGUAUUCAAAAGUAUUCUAAUUUCGAUGGAUUGUUUAAAAAAUAGGAUUUUAAUGGAUUUUGAUGGACUUUUUAGUGAAUUUUGAGCUACAAAAAGUCUUUCCUCAUAUCAUGAGAUUUUGAUGGAUUCUCAUUUUUUUUAUUAUUU